rnacentral:rRNA from 1 species
UACGAAGGGGGCUAGCGUUGUUCGGAUUUACUGGGCGUAAAGCGCACGUAGGCGGAUCGUUAAGUCGGGGGUGAAAUCCUGGAGCUCAACUCCAGAACUGCCUUCGAUACUGGCGAUCUUGAGUCCGGAAGAGGUGAGUGGAACUCCUAGUGUAGAGGUGGAAUUCGUAGAUAUUAGGAAGAACACCAGUGGCGAAGGCGGCUCACUGGUCCGGUACUGACGCUGAGGUGCGAAAGUGUGGGGAGCAAACGGG